rnacentral:lncRNA from 1 species
AGGGUCAGCUAGCACACUUGCCUCUAAAUUUUGUACACCUGAUAACGCUCUAGCACAGGGUCAGCUAGCACACUUUCUUGUGUACUAAAGUUAUAACGUUUAUAAUAAAGAAUUUAAUACAUUAAAAACCUUUUAGAACUUAGGCAUACGCUCUAGCACAGGGUCAGCUAGCACACUUGCCUCUAAAUUUUGUACACUUGAUAACGCUCUAGCACAGGGUCAGCUAGCACACUUUCUUGUGUAUUAAACUGUUGAAUAUUCUUAUUGUCUAUGUAACGUUACCAAUUUAAACUCAGAAGUUAGGUACUCAGUUAAACCUUUAAGUGAUAUAUAUAUACCUCAGAUAUACCUUGUUUAAUAUUAGACAUACGCUACUAGUAAAGUCUCUAGUACACUUGUCUCUUUGUUAUAUGUAAUAUUUGCUACUGGUCUCAUUGUUAUAUACCAGUGUCAGUGUAUCUGAAGAAAACCCUAGUCAAAUAAUAAACACACUAUUGUUAUUCAUAUUUUUAUUGGUUAACUGCAGUCCUUUAAUAGUCCAUUAUAUAUAUUGAAAGUGACCAUAACAUCAUGCCAAUAAUAAAGUAUUGAACUUGAAAACGUAUUUCCCUUUACUUUAGAUUUUAACAAAUCUAGCGAGACAUAGAGUUUGCUUUUCCAGUCAUUAUAUCUGGUUUAUUGUGUCA